UUGUUGGGGGGGUAACGGCCCACCAAGACUACGAUGGAUAGGGGUUCUGAGAGGAAGGUCCCCCACAUUG
rnacentral:rRNA from 1 species